CCUACGGGUGGCAGCAGUGGGGAAUAUUGGGCAAUGGGCGCAAGCCUGACCCAGCAACGCCGCGUGAAGGAAGAAGGCUUUCGGGUUGUAAAGUUCUUUUCUAAGGGAAGAAGAAAGUGACGGUACCUUAGUAAUAAGCCUCGGCUAACUACGUGCCAGCAGCCGCGGUAAUACGUAGGAGGCGAGCGUUAUCCGGAAUGACUGGGCGUAAAGGGUGCGUAGGUGGUUUGACAAGUUGGUAGCGUAACUCCGAGGCUCAACCUCGGCACUACUACCAAAACUGUCGGACUUGAGUGCAGGAGGGGCAAUUGGAAUGCCUAGUGUAGCGGUGGAAUGCGCAGAUAUUAGGAGGAACACCGGUGGCGAAGGCGAAUUGCUGGACUGUAACUGACACUGAGGCACGAAAGCGUGGGGAGCAAACAGGAUUAGAUACCCGAGUAGUC
rnacentral:rRNA from 1 species